AUGUUAAAAAAUAAAAAUUAGUGAAUAAAAAUUAUCUAAUGAUACUUAUUACAAAUUUUACUAAAUUUAAGGACGAACAUUUUAUGAAAACAGUGAGUUUUCAUAAUGGUUAUCCGUUUCAUCGUUUCAUGCCAUUAAUUUUAUGUAGUAAAUAAUAAUUAUUAAUUAUAUUUUAUAACUCAUCCUGCAAGACGUUGCCCGUAUUAAAUUAAAUAACUCCAAAGGAUUUACUCUCUUAAAGUUUGUUAAAUAAACCCUAAUACCCUAUUCAGACAAAAAGAAAUAUUCGUUUUUCUUGAGCCAAUAAAUUAUUAUGCAAGUCUUUCUACAAAAUUUAAAACUACGAAUGCAAAAUACUUGGCUGCUGUAUAUUGAUUCCAGUUGAAAAUAUCUCUAGUCAAAAAUAUCUCCGAUUUAAAAUAUCUCCAGUACGAAAUCAGUAAAAAAGAAAAAAGUACAAUGAUUACGAUGAAUGAUUGUUUAAAAUAAUAAGUCAAUACAAUGAAAUUACAUCUAUGAAAUAUUUAGGGAGAAUUGCCCACAAUCUUGAAUUUUAAUUUUGUCUUAUAUCAUGAUUGGAUUUUAUAUUUACCUAUUUAUUUAAUUUUUUACAUUACUCAAUCGUGCCUUAUUGUAUACAGUCAAUUAUAAUAUAAUUUAUUUUGUAUUUGUAUUAUUUUAAAAAUUACAUGUUAUUAUGAUUACUAUAACAUAUUUUUAAAUAUUUUCA